AGUAAAAUGGUGAAAAGUCUUUGUUUUAUUGACAUGAGAAUGUGGCAACAUGUGGACAAGCUGCCAUAGUAACACAUGGAUGACUCUUUACCUUUGUAUGCAUCACCUAAAAUGUUGAGUUAUUUUUCAAAACAACAAGCCAGAUAUGAUCACAAUGUUUUAAUUAAUGUAUUUAAUACUAACAGUAUUAUUUACAAC